rnacentral:lncRNA from 1 species
UGCAUCCGACUUAAUCCAUCCAUCCAGCAGUCAAGAAACCCUGACGGAUUGUAUACAGGCGAUUGUAUAGCAUCUAGCGGAGAAAUUCUUUACUACUUAUCUGUCAUUGCCAUUCAUCGUCUGCUACUUAAUGUCUUCUUCAUUUCUCGCGCCAGCAAGGUGUGCAAUGUGCACUUCUAUGUGAUCUAUUUGCUUACAAACGUGAGUCUCUUGAGAGAAUGCAAAUUUUGGUGUUUUAUCGGAAUACACACCAUCUAAACUUUCAAUUAAAACACAAGUCAGGUUUCACUUACACUUAGUAUACUCCUAUUGAAAAUGACUUCCGGAUACCCGGAAGGCGACGUUAACCGAUGGCCUCAACUCAGCUACACAAAAUGCAAAUGUUCAUGAACGGACCCCAUGGCAUUUACUCCGCAAUCCAGCAGUGAUCAACUUGUGUGAAGUUUGAACCUAGUUUUCAGUGUGCCAGCGUGAAGACACACACCCUCCGGUAAAACGGAAGAGCCAUCAAUCGACAUUCGAUGAAUUUCGAGAUGGCUGGAGCUGAAAGGAGGACGACAUUUUGGGCCGGCCUGGCUCUCAUCCGGCCGAAACGCCCGUUUCGGCCCUUUAGCCCGUCUCACUUGGGAGGAAUACAGCUGGGAUAAUAUGGAACCCAUAUAUUGUACUAUAUAUACUACCCAUAUAUAGCCACUAUAUUGUGGACUGUGAGUGAGUGUGCCACUCUAGAGGUUGCAGAUACCACCAAAAUAACUUCUCAUUUAAGACGAUCUAGGAUUGAUUGUUUUGAGUUGAAUCCUUUACCGCUGUUCCAAAGACUUGAUUCUUUGGUAAAACUGAGGAGAGAAUGCUGUAAUUCAAGACUGGCUGAUAAAUUGUGUAGUUAGAUAAAUUAAAAGUGCAUAU